UGAACGCUGGCGGCAGGCCUAAGACAUGCAAGUCGAACGGUAACGACACUAGCUUGCUAGUGGUCGACGAGUGGCGGACGGGUGAGUAACGCGUAGGAAUCUACCUAGUAGUGGGGGAUAGCCAAGGGAAACUUUGGGUAAUACCGCAUACGAUCUACGGAUGAAAGGGGGCCUCUCUUUGAAGCUCUCGCUAUUAGAUGAGCCUGCGUAAGAUUAGCUUGUUGGUGGGGUAAUGGCCCACCAAGGCGACGAUCUUUAGCUGGUCUGAGAGGAUGAUCAGUCACACUGGAACUGAGACACGGUCCAGACUCCUACGGGAGGCAGCAGUCGGGAAUAUUGGACAAUGGGGGAAACCCUGAUCCAGCCAUGCCGCGUGUGUGAAGAAGGCCCUAGGGUUGUAAAGCACUUUUAGUAGUGAGGAAGGCUCAGUAGUUAAUACCUACUGGGAUUGACGUUAGCUACAGAAAAAGCACCGGC
rnacentral:rRNA from 1 species